rnacentral:rRNA from 1 species
CAUGCAAGUCGGACGGUAGCACAGAGGAGCUUGCUCCUUGGGUGACGAGUGGCGGACGGGUGAGUAAUGUCUGGGGAUCUGCCCGAUAGAGGGGGAUAACCACUGGAAACGGUGGCUAAUACCGCAUAACGUCGCAAGACCAAAGAGGGGGACCUUCGGGCCUCUCACUAUCGGAUGAACCCAGAUGGGAUUAGCUAGUAGGCGGGGUAAUGGCCCACCUAGGCGACGAUCCCUAGCUGGUCUGAGAGGAUGACCAGCCACACUGGAACUGAGACACGGUCCAGACUCCUACGGGAGGCAGCAGUGGGGAAUAUUGCACAAUGGGCGCAAGCCUGAUGCAGCCAUGCCGCGUGUAUGAAGAAGGCCUUCGGGUUGUAAAGUACUUUCAGCGGGGAGGAAGGCGGUGCGGUUAAUAACCGCGCCGAUUGACUUUACCCGCAAAAAAAGCACCGGCUAACUCCGU